AGAGUUUGAUCAUGGCUCAGGACGAACGCUGGCGGCGUGCUUAACACAUGCAAGUCACGGGGGCCCGCAAGGGCAACCGGCGAACGGGUGCGUAACACGUGAGCAACCUGCCGAUCUGCGGGGGAUAGCCGGCCCAACGGCCGGGUAAUACCGCAUACGCUCUCUUGGGGACAUCCCCGAGUGAGGAAACCUCCGGGGCAGAUCGAGGGGCUCGCGACCUAUCAGCUAGUUGGCGGGGUAACGGCCCACCAAGGCUACGACGGGUAGCUGGUCUGAGAGGAUGGCCAGCCACAUUGGGACUGCGACACGGCCCAGACUCCUAUGGGAGGCAGCAGUGGGGAAUAUUGCGCAAUGGGCGAAAGCCUGACGCAGCGACGCCGCGUGUGGGAUGAAGCUCUUCGGGGUGUAAACCACUGUUGCCCGGGAAGAACCUCCUGAUUCAUCAGGAUUGACGGUACCGGGUGAGGAAGCACCGGCUAACUCUGUGCCAGCAGCCGCGGUAAUACAGAGGGUGCGAGCGUUGUCCGGAAUCACUGGGCGUAAAGGGCGCGUAGGUGGCGGGAUAAGCGUGCGGUGAAAGUCCGGGGCUCAACUCCGGAUCGGCCGUGCGGACUGUCUUGCUCGAGCGUAGUAGAGGCGGGUGGAAUUCCGGGUGUAGCGGUGGAAUGCAGAGAUCCGGAAGAACACCGGUGGCGAAGGCGGCCCGCUGGGCUACUGCUGACACUGAUGCGCGACAGCGUGGGGAGCAAACAGGAUUAGAUACCCUAGUAGUCC
rnacentral:rRNA from 1 species